rnacentral:lncRNA from 10 species
AAAGCCGCAGAUCGCUCCACCGCUGUGCGCAGCCCCCUGCUGAGGGGCCAGCGGCUCUCCCUGGGCUGGUUAGUGUUACUUAGUACUGUAUUUCUAAGGAAACCAAGCUUGCUGAUGGGACAGAAGAGGGAGACAAUUUUCAAUGUCAUUUUCCUCUAACUGUAUGGUCUCUCUCACAGGUAUACAAGGACCCCAGAACCUUAACACAAUUCUGAGGUGGAAGAAAUGGGGAACACCAGGCCUGGCCUCAUGGAGACCGGGGAGUCAGAACCUGAGGUCUGGCUCCUGGAGCUGCUGCGAGUGAGUGGUGGAAACCUGCCCCCUUAGAGAAGCUGCAGCUGAUCAGCAUCAUGCAAGGGACUGCUGAGAUGGUAGCAUGCUGGUAAUGAAGUGUUAUGGAGCCACUCCAUCCUUUAUUCAUCCUUUUCCUCAUACACACAGAGAGCAAAGGACAGGAACCAGCUACAGAAUUUGCAAGUGGAGAAUCCAGGUACCUUUAAAAGUCUAUUUAGUGAAAAUCUCUGGCUAUUGAUGUGACGGUUAAUUUUAUGUGCCAACUUGGCUAGGCCAUGGUACCCAGUUUUUCAUAAAAGAUCAGUCUAGAUGUUGUGAAGGUAUAUUUUUAAAUGUGAUUAACAUUUUAUUCAGUGGACUUCAAGUAAAGCAGAUUAUCCU